UAUUAUACUAAUUUUUUUUUAAAGCUUAAAUAUUAUAAGGUAUAGUCUUAAAAUUUAAAGAAGGCGGUAAUUUAGUCUAUCCAGAGGAACCUGUUUUUUAAUCGAUAAACCACGAAUUAUCUUACUUGUUCUAUAAUAAUUUUUAAGUUUGUAUACCGUCAUUAUCAGAUAAUGUUUAGAGAAAAUUAUUAAAUAUUAAAUAAUAAGUGAAAUUAGAUCAAGGUGCAGCUAAUGAAUAAGUUAAAAUGGGUUACAAUUAAGUUUAUGUAAUUAUGAAAUAAAAAUUGAAAUAUUUUUUAGAAGGGGGAUUUGGUUGUAAUGUGGAUUAAUAAGGUAAAAAGACAUAAGCUCUAAAUUAU
rnacentral:rRNA from 1 species